ensembl:lncRNA
GAACUGGCCGCCAGGUUAGGGGAGGGGGGUGGAGUUUCUCACAUUUCAGUCGCCUUGAGGCCCCCCCAUUCUGAAUCCGGGGCUGGGGUUAGUAGCCAAGGGGACAGACAAGGCUCCACCCUCAGCCCACUUUCUCUGAGCUUUCUAGGUCUUGCUUCUCACCACUCCUGGUAGUAUUUCCACCCCAGGUUUUAACUACUAGCACUUCCAUAAAAACAGCUGAAACCACUCUUUUGGGAGAACGCGCCCGUGAGGCCUCUCACCCCAACUAAACUGGUUCCCUGCUUCGUCCACACCUCCUGGGGAUGUGAUGCACCCCCUCAUCCUUGUCAACUCAGCCCCCGCGUCUCCGAGGGGUGUUCCUGUGCUGGCUUCAAAAACCAGCUGGCCACAUGGCGGGAGGGAGAUUUUCUGGCCCCGGGAGGUCUUCUGAACCUGGGAUUUGAGGCAUGCAUGAAACGACACCCGCCACUCGAACAUCACUAGAAGACGUCUGCUCUCCGUUUUGCCAGCGAAUUCCACCACUCCAGACUGACACCGGGGAGAAGAGGCGCGAAAUGGGGAGGGGAAACGCCCUAGGCAAUUUCUCAAACUCUGCAAAUCCGCCCAGGGAGGCCCGGGUGUCUGGGUAUGGGAGAAGGGGGUCUAGGGGUCUCUGCAGAUCUGAGGGAGGGGGUAAUGACUAGUUAUUACUAGUUUAGGAAGGGAGCGGCUGCUGCACUAGCGCCCCCGCGCCGGGCCUCGGGCCCCAAAUCCCGCGAGUGGUCGCCCAGCUCGGGCCCCGCCACCCAGCGCGCGCUGCGCCGCACCCUGCCCUGGGCAAGGGGCAGCGACCGGGAACCCGGGCCUGGUCGCGGCGCCGGGAGCUCGGACACGCCCGGCGUUUUCGAUCUCGAUGCUCAAGCAGGGCCCCAUCACCGCUGCAGCGUCUUGGGACCUCCCGUCCGCAUCCCCGGGACUGGGUGUCGUUAAAGGAAACGCCUAGGAGGAGAACUAGGAGGGAGCAGUAGGUAAACGUCCGGGUUCGACCGGCUGGAUGGUGCGAGAGAGCAACAAGUCGCUUGGAAAGUGGGUAAGAGGCUCCACUGCGAGCUGCUUCCUGCCUGCGGCGGAGCGGGACGUGCGCGCAGAGAACUCAGAGACAGGAACUGAGAAGGCUAAAGAGAGACUAACUCGGUCCCUUGGGCAAGGAGAUAAAAGGAAGGUCCGGUACCCAAAAGGGACGUGCUCCAGGAGGAGAAAGACGUGUGGGUCCCAAGGCCCAAGUUCUAGGGAAGUGUGAUGCAGAUUUGAACCAAUUACACCUGAGAGGAGAGCAUGAUAAUAACUCUGGGAAGCACGGGUCCCUUCACUCUCGACUGAAGCUGAAAUGAAGACAUGGCGAGAGCCUAUCAGAUGUGAAAAAAUGUUAAAAAUCGGUAACAUCCAACGUCGUUUUUCAGCCUCUCAGUUUCUUCCACUUAUAAACCAGCCGGCGCCUCAAGGAGGGGAGGAGCUCAGCGGGUCCGCCUCACCGCCAUGCAUGUCUCUCUCCCUGGAAUCUUGGCCGCUCAGCACCUGGACUGUCCGGGGAGCUCUUUGUUGCCUUCAGGCAGAUCGGUGAGCGAACUGUGGCAGAGCUGAGGUUACCUAAGUAAGCGGUAGAGCUGGGAGUUCUCCAUGCCCGCCACUCUAUACAGAGUCGAGUGCUCAAUUUGCCACUGGAGAAGGAGACCCUGGAGAAUGCCUGGCAUUUAGACUGUGCCUCUCAUGGGUUACCCUCAAGAGAGGCACUAGUCAGGCUCACUUGCAUGAUGGUGGCCAAAGGGCCUUAACUUGAAACCUGGGAAAGACCGGACAGAACUAGGACCAGGAGGGAGAGGUGAAAACCGGCACCCAGGUGUGGUGGGCACCUGAAUGCCCGAAGCCCUCCCGCUGAGAAGGUGGGGUAGUUCCUGUGUCUCUUAAGGCAAGUGUUGAACCUGAACCUGCUGGACCAGGUACAGGAUGGCAGGUCUUAGAGACGAAGCACGGAAAAUGAUGGGGUCUCCCUUUAAGAGGAGGAAGGAAGAGUCUUAACAGAGGCAGCCAUGGAACUCGGGUUUCAGUGACAGUCAGGGCGUUCUUUGGGUCAAAAUUUUAGUG